rnacentral:misc_RNA from 1 species
GCUCAAUUCAAUCUCUCCAGGCUUUAACUGCACAAGAACACUGCAAACUACAACAGUCCAGAGAAAAUUUACCAUCACCGCUAGUUGAUCAGAACUAUGCUGCCGCCGUCGUCGCCGGUGUUAGCUCUUCCAGGCGUAGAUCAGCAGCGAGAAGCCGUCGCCGCGCUGCAUCUCGACCUCCUCGGGGCUGGCCCAGUCCAUCACCGUGGAGCCACUGGCCCACGACGCCGUGGAGGAUGCCACGGACGCCGACGACGACGAGCUCUCCUUGGCCAGCCUCCGCCCCCUGCCCUUCCUCCUCUCACCGUUGCUGCCCGUCUCGCUCCAGUCCCGUUGCCCCCACCGCGCGAGGUAGCCUCCCCAAACGCCCGUGUUCCUCCUUGCGUCCUUGCUGGGGGAGGGAUUCUUCCCCAAAUCCGCCUCGCUCUCCUCGCCGCCGCUGGCGAGUUCGAACCGGAAAACGAACACCGCGUGGGCGUGCGUCGAGGCCUCCGUGGGGGGCGGCUCGCGUGGGGGGAAGAGCCAGUUGUGGAGAUCCCAAGAGACCUGGACGCCGUCGCCGCCCCCGAGGUCGACCCGCUCGCUGCCGCGGAACUUCCAGCGCAGGCGCCGGACGUGCAGCACUCGCUCGCCGUCGACAGAGACCGACAUGCCGACAUCAGCCCGGUCCUUCUCCUUCCCCUUGCCGGCGGUGGCCUUGUCCCUGCCACGGCCGCGAGCCACGAGAUCCACGGAGAUCUCCCGCUCCUUGCCCUGGACGUUCACCCAGGUGGUGUGGCUGCGGCCUCGGCCGGCGCCCGCGUCGCGUAGCGAGACGUGCUCCCGCCGGGAGAGGAGGACCGGACGCGGGCCUGAUGGGCGCCGGGCCCGGGUCCUCCGGUAGGCCAAAUCGGUCAGGUCCCCGGCCGCGAGGACCAUCUCGCCGCAGACGACGACGGCGACGAAGAAGCCCGAUGAGGGCUCGGGGGACCCGGAGACCGGGAAGCGCGCGCGAGAGAGAUCCCACGCCAGGUCGACGAGGCGGUCGCCAGCGCGGAACCGUCUGGACCCGCGGCGGCGCCAGAAUAGCCAUGGGCUGACGCGGAAGGCGAGAAUCUCUUCGUCCGCGUCAUCGUCGAGGUAGCCCGCUCCGGACGCCGAGGAGGAGGAGCCGGGCGGGGGCGUGGCCGACAGGCGGAGCACGGCGCGGAGGGAGAGGCCGAGCGAGGUCCGGGACCAGGAGAGCGCGACCAAGCCGAGGUGGGUCUCGUAGAUGGAGGUCGCCAGGCUGGGCCCCGCCGCGCCCGCGCCCGCGCCCGAGGACGGCGCCGCGGCGCAGCGGAAGCAGGCGGCGAUCCGGCUGGGCAUCGGUAGCGCGAGACGCCACUGCGAGACGCCACUGCGUCUACGCUAGUCGAUUGGAAUGCGUGCGCGCUGUGGCGCAGACUUGCAGUGCGAAUCCAAGGCGUCAAGGGGUUGCUGGCUUGCUGCGUUCCGCAAGUGGUGCGGCUGGGUUUGCUGGCUUGCCGCGGGACGGUUCGCCUCGGCAAACAUAUGAGGUGCGUCGCCAAUUUUGUCUGAUUUCAGUCGGAAUUGAGGAAAAAGACAUGGAACGAAUGAUGGAAAUUCACGUUUCAAAUUAAGCAGUUAGGACAUACUAGAAAGCAUGGCGCGCCGUUGGCGCUCGCUCUAAGAGACCGUGCGCUAGUUAUGGGCUUGUGUCUCAGUAUUUUUAUCUUAGCCUUUUGGCUUAAUUAAAUUGUAACGUUUGUUCUUACAUGUCAUUGUAAUGCACAUACAUUGUACUAGUGUACUCCUAUAAUCCUCAUGUAUCGUUGCAGUGCUUAGGCACUACUAUAAUCCCUC